GUAGGUGGCAAGCGUUGUCCGGGAAUUAUUGGGGCGUAAAGCGCGCGCAGGCGGUUCUUUGAGUCUGAUGUGAAAGCCCACGGGCUCAACCGUGGAGGGUCAUUGGAAACUGAAGAACUUGAGUACAGAAGAGGAAAGCGGAAUUCCACGUGUAGCGGUGAAAUGCGUAGAGAUGUGGAGGAACACCAGUGGCGAAGGCGGCUUUCUGGUCUGUAACUGACGCUGAGGCGCGAAAGCGUGGGGAGCAAACAGGAUUAGAUACCCUGGUAGUCCACGCCGUAAACGAUGAGUGCUAAGUGUUAGGGGGUUUCCGCCCCUUAGUGCUGCAGCUAACGCAUUAAGCACUCCGCCUGGGGAGUACGGCCGCAAGGCUG
rnacentral:rRNA from 1 species